UGCCAUGUUCCAUAUUGACAUGACUCAGUUACAGGUGUGACUUUCUUCUUUCCCAGGUCUCUUCUUCACCCCAGAGGUCUGGGCUGUGUGUGGGUUGCAGCAUGUCCUUGGCUGGGGAGAACCGUUUAGCCCAAAAUAUUGCCAGCAGGGUUGUUGGAAGCCAAGCCAGAGAUGAGAAGAAGACUGAGGGACAUUACCCAGGACAUUGCCAAGUUUAAAAGCCCCACAGAGCACUAUGGAGCCAUUAUCAAGAAUAAGCUCCCAGAAGAGAGAAGUCUAUGCUGUAGGCCUUGUUUUGCCAAGAGAGGGAAGUGUCCAAAGGCAUUGGAGAGGCAGCCUGAGGAGUCUAGAAGAUGCUGACCAUUCAAAGUGAAUACCUAAGCAUCCUCCCUCUCUCCUAUUCAUUUGUGUGAUAUUUCAAUCACCAGUUAAUUGGCUGAAUUUUUCCCUUACUUUCAUGGCCUCCAAAUUUAAUGUUUCUUCUUGAACAUAAAACAAAACAAAAAGUCUGUGUGGCCAUAUGUAAUGUGCAUAGUUAUACCUCACUCACCCUUGAAGGUUACUUACUUAGCACCCUGAAUGGAUUGGGAACAUUGCCAUCCCCUUCAUAUUUGUGGGUUCUAAGGCAAGAGUGCAAAUGGAGACCUGCAUAACAUAUGUCUAAGUAUUUUCUAGGUGUAAAUCAAGCUAUCAGACUAGUACAUAAAAUACGUCUACCCUAUAUGGUGACAAUUAUACCUUCCUAAUGGCAAAAUUGACAAAUGUGUUUAAAGCUAUUCUUAUUAUGUGACUGAAGGUUGGCAGAAAAGCAAAGAUGACAGAAUUUAAUUGUUACCGUGCAUAUCUCAGUCAUAUAUUGAGAUGUUUUGCUAAGUAAUGCUUUAUUUUCUUUAAUUUUAACAAAAAUAAUUUAUGAGGUAAUAAUCAGGGUUUUCA